rnacentral:rRNA from 1 species
GAUGAACGCUGGCGGCGUGCCUAAUACAUGCAAGUCGAGCGAACAGACGAGGAGCUUGCUCCUUUGACGUUAGCGGCGGACGGGUGAGUAACACGUGGGUAACCUACCUAUAAGACUGGGAUAACUUCGGGAAACCGGAGCUAAUACCGGAUAAUAUUUCGAACCGCAUGGUUCGAUAGUGAAAGAUGGCUUUGCUAUCACUUAUAGAUGGACCUGCGCCGUAUUAGCUAGUUGGUAAGGUAACGGCUUACCAAGGCAACGAUACGUAGCCGACCUGAGAGGGUGAUCGGCCACACUGGAACUGAGACACGGUCCAGACUCCUACGGGAGGCAGCAGUAGGGAAUCUUCCGCAAUGGGCGAAAGCCUGACGGAGCAACGCCGCGUGAGUGAUGAAGGUCUUCGGAUCGUAAAACUCUGUUAUUGGGGAAGAACAAACGUGUAAGUAACUGUGCACGUCUUGACGGUACCUAAUCAGAAAGCCACGGCUAACUACGUG